UCAGGUAUGAGCAUAUCCUCAUGGCUCCAGACCCAGUACCACUGUAUGCUCUGAAACUGCUGGUGGCCCUGACUGAACACAGCCCUGCUUCUGUGAGUGUGAUGGACAUAGAGCUAUUCAUCUCCUCUGGUCUGCCCAGAAAAUUGGGUUAUUUUUGCAUUCACUGUUCUCUUUUCAUGGUGUCUGAUGGUGUUACAGUUUAGAAGUCACUGCAUACCAUACUGUCUCAUUUUGAUUGAUUAGAAUGAACACAAGAUUAAAAACCAAGAAAGCAUACAAAAAAGAAUUUUAAUUGUUCUCCCACUACUUUUAUUGUAAAAGAUGAAAACAUCAUUUUUCAUCUUUUAUGGUUUUAUUUUGGUGCUUUUAGUGUACUGAGUAGACUAAAAAUCAACUGGGAAAUUGAGUUGCUUGAGAUUUUAAAAAGCUUGAAUGCAGAGAAGGUGGUAUUUAAUUGUUUUUAUUGUAUGCAAACUGUUUAUGCUACAGCAAGCUUUUAUGCUUAAUACAAAUAGUAAAGCUUUCUAUUUUUAGCAUUAACCUACAGAUGUUCUAAUUCUUUUACAAUAAACUAUUUCUGU
rnacentral:lncRNA from 7 species